GGGAAUAUUGGACAAUGGGCGCAAGCCUGAUCCAGCCAUGCCGCGUGGAGGACGAAGGCCUUCGGGUUGUAAACUCCUGUCGGAGGGGACGAAGGCGAUCGAGAUCAAUACCCUCGGUCGUUGACGGUACCCUACGAGGAAGCCCCGGCUAACUCCGUGCCAGCAGCCGCGGUAAUACGGGGGGGGCUAGCGUUGUUCGGAAUUACUGGGCGUAAAGCGUGCGUAGGUGGUUUGUUAAGUCUGAUGUGAAAGCCCUGGGCUCAACCUGGGAAUUGCAUUGGAUACUGGCAGUCUAGAGUGCGGUAGAGGGUAGCGGAAUUCCCGGUGUAGCAGUGAAAUGCGUAGAUAUCGGGAGGAACAUCCGUGGCGAAGGCGGCUACCUGGACCAGCACUGACACUGAGGCACGAAAGCGUGGGGAGCAAAC
rnacentral:rRNA from 1 species